ensembl:lncRNA
ACAGCAUCCUGCUCCGCACGCCCCGUCGAACCCCAGGGCCUGCGUACUGAGCAUGCGCAGUUUGUUUGCCUGAGCCAGGAACCUAGUCAACUCGAGAAUCCCACGCUGGGCAUUUGGGGGAAGCAAGAUGUUAGCGGGGCCAGGGCAAUCUGCUGGCUUUAACGUGAGGCGGAGAGUGACAAGAAGAAACGGACAAGGUCCAAAAGGAGGUCUUGGCGAGGGAUUUUGUUUGACACCACCCAGUGUCUCAGUACUCCUGAGAGCUUUGCUUUUUAUCUUGCAUAAACAUAACAAGAAGUUUUGAGGGGACGAACAUUAACACAACGAACUGAAGCUUUGUUUUAAGCGUCAGAACACUAAGGAAGAGGUUACAGAGCCCCUUCUGCCCACAGCCCGAGGCGGCGAAGGCGAGACCGGCCCACGCCUCAGCCCACCCCAGCCCCGCCCUGCUCCAGCUCCGGACUGGUGUCGAGCUCUUCCCACGCCCUCUCAGCUACGGGCACUUGGAAAACCGGGAGAACGGAGCUCCAAGCUGCAAGAGAAAGCCCAGGGCCACCUCAUAGCAACAGCUAGCCCGGGCACCUAGUAGGAAGCUGGGAUUCAUUCCAACCAACCAGAUCACGUUUCUGUACCCCGUGGUACCACUCUCGGCCAAUAGAGAGCCACUUCAUGCCACGUGACACCCACCCGUCAGCCAAUGGAGGAAACUCUAGACGCAGGAUCACCAACUCACCUCCCUUUGCCUGGCCAGGCUGGGGGUUUGCUUCUGCGCACGCUCCGCCAACCAAUCGUAGGUCCCCAGAAGUUGAGAAGCUCUGGACUACAGUGCAUCUGAUAGAAGUUGUCACAAAAAAAAAAAAAAAAUAGUGAGUGGGCUCCCUAGUCACUCCACUUAACACAAUAAAGAGUAGGAGAGCUUUUUGAAAUUUUUCAGGCUGUUUUCUCUGACCUUUCAUUACUGCUGACUUUUCCUGAUAAGGAGAAGUAUACAGACUGCAGCCCUUAGGGUAGUUGCACCUCAUUUAUAUUUCUCAUCUUGAUAUUUGAUAUGCAUUCUCGAUGAAUUCAUAUUCAUUUGAUAUUCAUUCUCAAUGUUACCAUAAGGGUAGAAUUUUAACCACUAAUAAGCAAAAGAAACAUGAUAAGCAGGGCAUAUUUUCUUUCCUAUUCUGUCUUAUAUGAUGGUACUUACCUAAUUUGAGGCUGUAUGUGAAAUACUGGUUGAAGGAUUAGCUGCCAUAAGAAAGGAUAUCAGAAUGUGUAGAGAAUUUUGAAGAUUUGGUAGGGAGAUGGGUGUCUGUCUCCUGAUUUCUUAAUCAUGUUCAUUUUUAUGCCAGCAUGAACUAUCUAUUCUGAGAGUGAUUUUGGAAAUAAAAACUUACGUAUCCAUUCAUUUGUUUGUGGGAAAGACAAAAUAAAAAUGAGAUAAAAUGAAAUUGAAUUUUCUCCAAGAGCUGUAAAUCUGUAUGAUAGUGAAAACACUGUGCACUGACACUUUAGGGCCUCUUUAGCUUCAGAAAGGCAUUACUGGAAGAAAAAAAAAAAGAAAAGAAAAACUUCAUUUCUCCUCUCCCCACUAAAUCUGAGAGUUAUCUCGCCUAUGCCCAGGUACCCUCAACUGUCACACUUGUGUUACUAUGGAAACCCAGCUCCUUUCUUUGCUUCGCUGAAAGAUGUUGGAAAAGGUGGGUUGAAGUGGGAAAUACACUGUGUUCAGGGACUUUCUGACUAGAGCAAGAGGCAAGUCUGUAAAGAAUUUAAUAUAAACAAGUUAGAAGAGGAUGUUUGUAAUAUUAGCAGGGCUUCUUAUCUAUAAAACCCUGAUUCCUAUUGCUUCCUAUUAAGGCCUACGUAAGUGUGAGUAACCAUUAAGGGGAAGGGCAAGUCAAGUACAUUUUGAGCAGAA